rnacentral:lncRNA from 1 species
UGGAGCUGGAGAGAAGAGUUUCUCCCCCCAUUGCUUUGGGCGUCGCCUCCUUUUUAAAGUUGUCCUGAGUCUAGGGUUUGUUUUCUCUUUUUUUUCCUUAUGUUUUGAUCCUCCUUCUUGAUUUCAACAUGUCUUCAUUUAUCCAUAAUGAUCCCCUCCUGAUUUUUGGCCCUUCGAUCCCAAUAGGGAAGAUAUCUCCUCAUAUUUCAAAAUUCUCUCAUUUCUUUUAAACGCAAUGCAAGUUGCAGUGCAAGGCACAUAAACAGGAUGUU